GCUGUUAAGGGUUCGUAGUUGAAUUCAGGGUUGCGAGUUUUCGCCGGGGAACCGGUUUUCGUCUCAACUCUGUCAUAGACGGGAUCGGAGCCUUGCGGAGCCCCCCUUUGCUGUGUGGGGUGUGCUGUCAGGUGAAGAGCUUGACAUUACGUAUGUGACGCAUACUUGGCCGCCCGUCGUUUCACUGUGAAGAAAACAGCGUGUUCAAGGCAGCCGCAAGCGGUUGUAUGACAAAGCUGGAAUGACAAAGCAUCGACCAGUGGUCGUCGUCCUUUUGUCGGUUUUUACGAUCCAUUUGGUAAUUAGUUUUCAGAGUAUUUCGUUCACCAUUCGUGGUAGCGGAACUUUGGAGAACCGGGAUUAAUGGGGGUUGUCGGGGGAAAACGUAUCUGAGCGUGAGAGGUGAAAUUCUUGACCGCUCGGGGACGAACUUAUGCGAAGGCAUUUUCCAAGUAUACCUUCAUCAAUCAAGACUAAAGUG
rnacentral:rRNA from 1 species